rnacentral:rRNA from 1 species
GAGUUUGAUCCUGGCUCAGGACGAACGCUGGCGGCGUGCUUAACACAUGCAAGUCGAACGGAAAGGCCCUGCUUGCAGGGUACUCGAGUGGCGAACGGGUGAGUAACACGUGGGUGAUCUGCCCUGCACUUCGGGAUAAGCCUGGGAAACUGGGUCUAAUACCGGAUAGGACCAUCGUUUAGUGUCGGUGGUGGAAAGUUUUUCGGUGCAGGAUGAGCUCGCGGCCUAUCAGCUUGUUGGUGGGGUAAUGGCCUACCAAGGCGUCGACGGGUAGCCGGCCUGAGAGGGUGGACGGCCACAUUGGGACUGAGACACGGCCCAGACUCCUACGGGAGGCAGCAGUGGGGAAUAUUGCACAAUGGGCGCAAGCCUGAUGCAGCGACGCCGCGUGGGGGAUGAAGGCCUUCGGGUUGUAAACUCCUUUCAACCAUGACGAAGCGUAAGUGACGGUAGUGUAGAAGAUGCCCU